GUUUCUCGAAAUAUUGGAUGGACAAUGAAAGCAGGAGGGCAAAAAUAGGACGGAAGGUGAGAUCUCCAGUCGCUGGCUGGAAGUCGACUUGAACAGCCUUCCAAAUUCAUCUGAGUCUGCUAAAGUAAAGUUUACAGUGAAGUUCAAAUUUGCACAAACCUAGGGCAUUCAUUAUCCCGCCUAGUGAAUGCAACAGGAAGUGAGAAAUUUUCUUCAUCUGAUAAAAGACAUUAGUGGGCAAAUAAAGCAAUUUAUGGCCCGAACGCAAACAAAUCUCUGAAUGAGGUGAAGUAAUGUGAUAAAACAUUAUAUGUAACUAAGCGCUAAAAAGUCCCACUUGUGGAAAAAUAAGGAAGAGUACUUAACACGUUUUAAAGAAGAAUUGGUGCUACAAUUGCUAUCAACAUGAAUUAUUCAUUUUGGAUUCUUGGACUCGUUUACAUCAGCCAAAUCGAAAUUUUCGUCUUGGGUGCCUCCGAGGAGCUAGUUCAAAUUCCGAACGGACUAGCAAGUCUUUAGCGGACCAUUCCAGCCAUUCGGAUUAUCAAGUGACGGAAUUGGCCAAAGUCAGAUCCCUCAAUCGAGCCGAUGAAAUCGUUUCUUUCACCAAAUUUCGCGCACGACAAGGCACGAAUUUAUACGGGCGAAUCAUUGUUCCGUGGGAAAAAGAAGGUUGGUCCAUUACGCUGCGUAGCAUGUGGGACUCGGAACAUUUCACGACUCCCAUGUGGGUCUUUUUGAGACGAGCGGGACUACCCAAAAAGACACAUUGGGACAAAACAUCCAUUUCUUACAUAUCUAGAAAAUAUUCGCAAAUCAUGCUUGAUAAUAUCCAAGCAGGUGCAUAUUGGGUCCUAUUUGAGCCUUUGGUGCCAAUGUUGAAUGUUACAGUGGCCCUUUCCAUUCUUCCCGAUGAAAAGGACAUGCAAUCUGCAGAUUUCUUUCGCCGGGGAGUAUCAGUGAAGAGAUUGCCUUGAAAUAUGUAUUUUGUAAUAUCAUAUUUAUAUUCUUCUAAGCUAUCAUUGAUGCCUCUUCUCAAAAGUAAUCCUCGAGCUUCUUCCAACUCCUCAGGUCCCUCUGGAACCCACCUCAUUGUGCCAUGAAAACAUUUCCAAGCUCAACCAGCCGAUCAUAACCCAUUCGUACCUAAGCAUACUAUGAAACUUGAGCGAUUUGUGGGCAUUUGACACAUUUCAUUGCAAUAAAUCCAAAGACUUACGCCAUUA